GUUCUGGGAAGAGUGGUACCACUGCUGUCCACAGCCUACAACAUUUCAGAUAUGAGCACUUGGCAACAAAUCAGAUAAUGACGUGGCUGGAACGGCAUUGUUUAACUGCAACAUACCCUUUGAAGAUGCUCCCAAAGUGUACAGCACAACAAGGAAUAGUUUACAAAAGGUUUUUACCUGGAGGCCUUGAGUAAACACUUCCUCAGUCAGGAAAGUAGAUAGCAUCCUAACUACUGAUGCCCCCUAGAGGAAGAGACUCAGCAUUACCAGACAAACUACAUGGAGUCGACGACAAGGGGUGAGAUGAGGCCAAUGCAUCUAUGGCAAAAACUUUGUGCACAUCAUUAAGAACGAUCAAAUCUUUCUGUGGGAUAGGAAUAGAAGAGUUAGGAUUUCAUCUGCUCUUAGUGAUGGCUUUUUUCAUUUACCCUUUAUUGCUCUGGCUUUUGCU